rnacentral:rRNA from 1 species
AGUGAACGCUGGCGGUAGGCCUAACACAUGCAAGUCGAACGGCAGCACAGUAAGAGCUUGCUCUUACGGGUGGCGAGUGGCGGACGGGUGAGGAAUACAUCGGAAUCUACUUUUUCGUGGGGGAUAACGUAGGGAAACAUACGCUAAUACCGCAUACGACCUACGGGUGAAAGCAGGGGAUCUUCGGACCUUGCGCGACUGAAUGAGCCGAUGUCGGAUUAGCUAGUUGGCGGGGUAAAGGCCCACCAAGGCGACGAUCCGUAGCUGGUCUGAGAGGAUGAUCAGCCACACUGGAACUGAGACACGGUCCAGACUCCUACGGGAGGCAGCAGUGGGGAAUAUUGGACAAUGGGCGCAAGCCUGAUCCAGCCAUACCGCGUGGGUGAAGAAGGCCUUCGGGUUGUAAAGCCCUUUUGUUGGGAAAGAAAAGCAGCAGGUUAAUACCCCGCUGUUCUGACGGUACCCAAAGAAUAAGCACCGGCUAACUUCGUG